UGAAAAAGAAGUUACUGGAAUGUAUUCAGCGAAAAAGUAUUCUUGAAUAAAAUUAUUGUUUAAUUUACACGUUCGUAAGGUGAAUUAUGAGAUUAAAAACGAUUUUCUCGAGAAAUUAUUAAACAAACGUAUCUACGUCGAUGUUAUCUACGAUACAGCGUAGAAAAAGGUUAUAUAGCGCCAUUUAAUAAAAAGAAGAAAUUGCGGCAGAGAUUAGGAUUGAAAGUUCAUUCAAUACAUAGCAAUACAAAUUACCUCUUCAAAUUUUUGAAAAACAAGAUUAGUGAUGUCUGAUAAAGUGUAUUCAAAUAAGACAGUUGGAUGGAGAAUAAACAUCACUGAAGACGUCGAUAAAGUAAAUGCACUAGUUUGUGGAGUACAAUAAUUUUUUAUAGAAAUUGUAGAAGCCAUGAACAAUGUUUUAAAUCGGAUAACUAUAAAGAUAAUGAAAAGAAUGGAAACAUGACUUGAAUAGAGGAAGGAGAACCUGUUUGAAAGACCAUUUUUUAAUGAAAAGACUAUUAAGGAUUAUCUAUCAGACAGUAUCAUCGAUCAAUCAUUAGAAUGUUAUGGUCAAGUUAUAGGAUACAAUAACUUAAAUGUUAUAAAAAAAGCUGUAUAUAUAACCAUCUUCCAUAUAAUACCAAUAGAUGAUAAGCAGUUUCAAGACUUUUCUUCAAGCGAUUUAGAAAUAUAAAAUAGUUGGAGCGUAACUUUAUUUAUAAGAAUUCUUUACCUGAAUCUAUUAUGUUGAUUGUAAGGCCACUUUAAAGAGAUUUGGCAAAUUCCGAUGUAUUGAAGAAUGUCUAGCAAAGAAAACAGUGAAAAGGAAUCAUUCAUUAACAUUGUGUGAACAAGUGUAUCAAAAGAUGUAUUUAUGGACUCCUGUACAUUGAAGCUUAGUAUAUGUGAUGCUGUUGUCAUAUUUACUGCUGAUAAUGGCGGCAGAUUGGAAGAGGUAGGCGUAAAAUGACCAUACUGAAGGAACUGAACAAGGAGCGAGUUGAUAAUGCAAAACUACAAACCUAAAUAUUGUCUAAAAAGAUAAUAUUUCAUCUUUGGUAAGAUGAAGAAGAAUUCAUUUGGAUAAUACAGAAGAAGAUGCAUGGUUUUGACUACUGUUUUUACUAUAAAAUGGAUUUGGAUGAGUAGAAAUGAAGGAAGUGCCAUUAAAAAUUUAAUCUAAAGAAGUUUCACUAUUAUCUUGUGUAUCGUAUUAAAUAAUCAUCUGAGAAAGAAAAAGAUAAAACAGAGUGUUACGUCUGAGAAUUUAUGGAAAAUUUGACAUAUGGGUAGAACGUGUUAAAAAUAGUGGAUAGAUUAAAUUAUGCAAACAAUAAUUGAUAAAUUCCUAUGUUCGAAUUAAGAAUAAUAUUGAGAAUAAUAAUACUCAAUAAUAUUGUCAACAGAUAAAAGACAAGAGGUUUUCAACGAUAUCCUUUGUCUGUUGUAAGUCAAUUUCAAAAUUUUCACAAUUCAAAAUUUCACAAUGCUCUGAUUUGUCGAUGUAGUUUCCAACUAUCCGACGGAAACAUCGAAUGUAUCAAGGAAAAGAAAUUAAUAAAGCAUGUAUUCCAAAUGAGAAAUAUAACAAGUUACGAUAACGAGUUAAAAGUUGACUUGUGCGUGAAAUUCUCAAAUCCAAAUUCUCGUAUCAGAAAAAAGAAAAUUUGUUUGUUUCUGAGAGAAAUUCUCGAAUCGAAAUUCGUGCUGUCGUAUCAGAAUCUCAUCCGAAUUUUGUCAUUGAUAGGAUAUUUGAAAGAUUUACGGACAUUAAAAUUUAAAAUGUAUUAAAUACAAAAUAAAAUUAUAUUAAAAAUAAAAAA